GCGCUGAAAUGAAGUUAGGAGACAUUGCCACCAGAUGUCAGUGUUCGUCCGCAAGCUUUAACAACUCUAUGUUUGGGGCAUCACAACAAACACCCUCCAGCUGUCUUUUGGUUUAGCCCAGCAGAAGAUUCUGGCACGUUGCAGCAGCUGUCAGCGCUGUUUAAGGCAAAGGGGGCACGAAGGCUGUGGACAACACGUCUUUGCAUUAUUAUGUCAACGAGUCGGCACCAGUACAUUUUAAUUUGAAUCCAAUGUAUAAUGUUUGUGAAAAUGUCCGCGUGGUGCACACCACAGCCUCUGUGCUCAAUAUCCAGAAAUUAAUUGCGGUCUCAGGACAAAAGGAUACAACAGAUACCCCAUUGAUGGAGAUGCGCACAGUCACUCGAUCUUUCAGCUUGCACGGUUCAUGCCGAAAUAUCCUCUCGCGCAAAUGGCUGUUGAUGGACUUGAGUGGCAGGAUUAACUUUCCUAGCAUGGGACAGCUCAUCAGAAUUGUCACAGAA